AUUACUGUAGGUGGACUUUAUCAUGGGGAUUCUUUCUCGCCUUGUGACAAAGCAGAUAUGGAAAUAUCCGAAGUUGUGGGUGGGAUUCUUGAAGUGUGUGCAGCUGACAAAACCACAGUCAUUUAGCGUUUUGCUUCAGCUGCCUCCAGCACAAUUGGAGAAUGCAUUAAAUAGAAUUUC